CCGUUCCCUGCGGAAUAGCUCCGGGAAACUGGAAUUAAUACCGCAUACGCCCUACGGGGGAAAGAUUUAUCGGGGAAGGAUUGGCCCGCGUUGGAUUAGCUAGUUGGUGGGGUAAAGGCCUACCAAGGCGACGAUCCAUAGCUGGUCUGAGAGGAUGAUCAGCCACAUUGGGACUGAGACACGGCCCAAACUCCUACGGGAGGCAGCAGUGGGGAAUAUUGGACAAUGGGCGCAAGCCUGAUCCAGCCAUGCCGCGUGAGUGAUGAAGGCCUUAGGGUUGUAAAGCUCUUUCACCGGAGAAGAUAAUGACGGUAUCCGGAGAAGAAGCCCCGGCUAACUUCGUGCCAGCAGCCGCGGUAAUACGAAGGGGGCUAGCGUUGUUCGGAAUUACUGGGCGUAAAGCGCACGUAGGCGGAUAUU
rnacentral:rRNA from 1 species